rnacentral:rRNA from 1 species
UACAGAGGUCUCAAGCGUUGUUCGGAAUCACUGGGCGUAAAGGGUGCGUAGGCGGCGGGGAAAGUCAGAUGUGAAAUCCGGAGGCUCAACCUCCGAAUUGCAUCCGAUACUCCCUCGCUAGAGAUUUGUAGAGGAGCUUGGAAUUCUCGGUGUAGCAGUGAAAUGCGUAGAUAUCGAGAAGAACGCUCGCAGCGAAAGCGAAGCUCUGGGCAAAUUCUGACGCUGAUGCACGAAGGCUAGGGGAGCGAACGGG